rnacentral:lncRNA from 1 species
UGUUUCUGGUCGACACAUUCACAGAGAAAAAGGGGGUUCUCCUUCUUGAACCCUAACUCAUAAUUUCCAUCAAAUUCCAAGGGGGGAAACGGAUUAGGAUCGAAACCAACCUGAAUUCGUAAUCAACCAAGCUAGAAAAAUCACAAGUUUGACUCUAAACAAGCUAGGUGGGAGCUUGGAAACGAACGGGUCAAACGGAUGAUGGAUGCAAAGAAUGUUUGCGCGGACGCGAGGUGAUAUCAAGUGUACCCGGAUGGAGAUCAAGCGAUGACAAAGGACCAAACACACGAAAAUAAAGCUUCCGCAAGUUGUUUCGUCGUUAAUCUUAAAUGAUGAAUUAAAUCACAUUAUGUU